UACGUAGGGUGCGAGCGUUGUCCGGAUUUAUUGGGCGUAAAGAGCUCGUAGGCGGUUCCGUAAGUCGGGUGUGAAAAAUCUGGGCUCAACCCAGUGGAGCACCCGAUACUGCGGUGACUGGAGUCCGGUAGGGGAGUGUGGAAUUCCUGGUGUAGCGGUGAAAUGCGCAGAUAUCAGGAGGAACACCGACGGCGAAGGCAGCACUCUGGGCCGGUA
rnacentral:rRNA from 1 species